AGUCGUGCGAGAAGGGACUUCGGUCCUGAGUAGAGCGGCGCACGGGUGAGUAACGCGUGGGUAAUCUCCCUUGGUGAUCGGGAUAACAGCGGGAAACUGCUGCUAAUACCGGAUAAUCUUCAUGUUUAACUUCAUGGGGUAAAGGUGGCCUCUGCUUGCAAGCUACCACAUCAAGAUGAGCCCGCGUCUCAUUAGCUAGUUGGUAGGGUAAUGGCCUACCAAGGCUACGAUGAGUAGCUGGUCUGAGAGGAUGACCAGCCACACUGGGACUGGAACACGGCCCAGACUCCUACGGGAGGCAGCAGUGGGGAAUAUUGCGCAAUGGGCGAAAGCCUGACGCAGCGACGCCUCGUGAGGGAUGAAGGUCUUCGGAUCGUAAACCUCUGUCAAGAGGGAAGAAACCUUUGGAUUCGAACAGGGUCUAAAGCUGACGGUACCUCUAAAGGAAGCACCGGCUAACUCCGUGCCAGCAGCCGCGGUAAUACGGAGGGUGCAAGCGUUAAUCGGAAUCACUGGGCGUAAAGCGCUCGUAGGCGGUUUGGUCAGUCAGACGUGAAAUCCCGCAGCUUAACUGCGGAACUGCGUUUGAUACUGCCAGACUUGAGUGUCGGAGAGGGUGGCGGAAUUCCGGGUGUAGGAGUGAAAUCCGUAGAUAUCCGGAGGAACACCAGUGGCGA
rnacentral:rRNA from 1 species